rnacentral:rRNA from 1 species
AUGGGCCGUGGUGGACCACCUCCUCCCAUGGAACGUGCUGGUCGUGGUCCACCAUGUCCUCCCAUGGGUCGUGCUACUCAUGCUCCAGUGCCUCCUCCCAUGGGUCAUGUUGAACAGAAUCCUCCGAUGGGUCAUGGUGGGCCACAUGUGAGUAAUGCUUCGGCAUCUCUUCCUAUGGGUAACACAACACAGGGCCAUACUAACUGCACUGAGCGGAUGUCGCCUACGAGCAACGACAAUGAGGUUGCAACUCCUAGGGAUCCACCAAAGUCAACUACAAAAGGGAGGGCAAGGAGUAGUCGCUAUCAUUCAGCUCUUAAACUGCACCCGAAAAGGAAAAACAGGUGCAGCUACUACAACUCAGAUAAGCACAAUGUUGAUGGCUGCCCUACGAAGUUGGCGUGA